rnacentral:rRNA from 1 species
UACGUAGGGUGCAAGCGUUGUCCGGAAUUAUUGGGCGUAAAGCGCGCGCAGGCGGUGGUUUAAGUUUGGUGUUUAAUCCCGGGGCUUAACCCCGGUUCGCAUCGAAAACUGGGUCACUUGAGUGUAAGAGAGGAAAGUGGAAUUCCACGUGUAGCGGUGAAAUGCGUAGAUAUGUGGAGGAACACCAGUGGCGAAGGCGACUUUCUGGCUUAUAACUGACGCUGAGGCGCGAAAGCGUGGGGAGCGAACAGG